ensembl:lncRNA
CCUUAAACUAUUGAGUGGCUUUGCACCUCCUUUCAGUGACUAUUUCCUUCAAAAAUGGAAGAGUUAAGAGCUUUUUCCUACCUUUUUAGUGUAAAGUCCUAACCCAGUAAGGCUUUUUAAUGUACUAAAUUAUUAAAAUAGACAUUGUGCGCUUUGGACAGAACAACGAAGAUAAAACACCCACAUCCAUAAUAAACUUAUAGCCUAAGUGAACCGCUUUGUUUCAACAAUGUCAAAGUGUAUUAUGGCUAAUGCUGCUGUAUCUUCAGUGCAGGAAUGAUUCAUACUUAACUUCAAUGACUCAUAAAAUACAUUCGAGUAAAUGAUUGGCAAUUUAAGUCACAGAGCAGAAGCAGGUCAGAUUAGAAAAGAAGACAGAGAGGGAUCGGAACAGUUUCUCGUAUCAGUGCAUAACUCGUAGACUACUACUGUAGUAGAUUUAUAUAUGUAUUAGUUUGGCAGGUUAAUGCAGGUAGUUUUGGUUGUUGGUUGUUUUCAGGCAGCUAACAAAAUGAAUAUUUCAUGCUGCACAGCUGUACUGAGGAAACACAUGUGGUAGGCGGGCGCAGAGAGAGAGUGUGUGUGUGUGUGUGUGUGUGUGUGUGGUGAUGUGAUCUACUGUGUGUUUGUCUAUAGUCUGUCAGUCGCGCUGUUUGCAGUGACCAACCAUCAGUGUAGCAUGAAACGAUGCCACACCACCUAAAACUCCGGAAUACCCUUCGUCAUCUACAUAUGAACACUACCCAGAAGAUCGUCUACCCUGACGGACGCUUAUACAGACCGAAAGGAGGGAGCCAAGUGGCAGAACACCAGAGGAUGUGUUGAGGUAAGAAAACCUCACAGUGAUUUUGAUGCAGAGCAAGACAUUUUCCUUUACUUUCGCCUCUUUCCGUUUGUGGAAAAAUGUCGUCUUCUUAAACUAUUUAUCACAAAUGCAGUUGUGUUGAGGGAAUGGGACUUAUGCAAUAAGAGUUACAGCCUGUUUGGCCUGCUCUCGAUCCUUGGCUUCAGCAGGACAGUCAUCCCAAGUGAAAAAGUUCUUGGAGGCCAUCCUCUUAAGAUCUAAUAAACCACCAAAAAGGCCUCCAAACAAAACACAUUCCUAGAGCUGAAGCAGUGGGAGGGUUUCUGUUGCAAUGUGCGUAUGGCUUCACAUAUAGAAACACUGAGGCCAUGCUGAGAUGAUUCAAAGUGUGUGUGGGGAAAGGAUGCCCCUCGUGUUAUUCCUUCUAUCAGUACAUUCUCACUGGGCAUCAUAACCCUUGCUGUGAUUGUUAGGUUCAAGGGUGCUUUUAGGUUUCUGGAUAAGGCAAAAACAAAAAUUCUUCGAAUAUGAAUUUGAAAUGAUUGGUGUUUUGGAUGUUAACACAACUAAAGAAAGGGCUCACUAAUUUUACUGCAUUUGAAGAUUGCCAGCAGAUGUGUUAUUUGUGGUUUUG